ACAUCUGUCACUCCAUUGAUUGCCAGGAUUGACUGAGCUGAUCUGGAUGGCUCUGUGUGUGU
rfam:Pongo abelii chromosome X.